GGAGCAGCUUUUCUGUAAGACAAUGUUAAUUGUUACUGGAAUUUUACCCUUAAACUUGGCACCACCUCACAAGUGAAUGUUUCUCAACAUUUAUAGACAACGAAAUACUUUCAAACUGGCCAAGUGAGAUACAUGGAAAUUUUGAAGGGCCUGGGAUCUUCACGCCAUGGAUUAUCUCAACACAUCAGUUUCAGUCAAAAAGUAUUCUUCACUGACUCCAGUGAGAUAUCUUUAAAGGUGAAGGAACAAAUCACAUGAAAAAAUGAACAAAAAUGAAACCAGCCAAGACCAGGGCCCCAAGAAGUUGACGGCAGGCAGUAAUCCAGGAGUGACGGAAAAAGGCGUGGAGAUCAAAAAGCAAGUCUCAACAAAGAACAUCUGCUCGUUUCUUACAACUCACCUGUGGUUGCUCUGAAGUGGCUUCAGGAUGUGCUCCAUUUGUGACACUUGUGACACUUAAAGGAGAUACUUCAACUGUGACAUCAUCUAGGCCUGGG